CAAUACUUAGGGUUCCAGUUGUGUGCUAAGAAUUGAACUAAAGAAUUACAGAGGUCUAAGUGAAUCACUAAAAUAAAUGUUGGCAGCAUUAAUAUGCAGUCAAAAUAUCCACAUGUAUCAGAGACUGACAGCAGGAUUAAGUAAUAAUCCAGAUAGAUACAUGAUUGCAAGUAAAUCUAGUAUUUCCCUCUUUUUAUAUUUAUUGCUUUUAACUUUCCCCUUCUUUAGUUUCCUUCCAACCUCCAGCUGGUAGUGUUCAACAGUCAGUGCACAGCUUUGUACUAAUGAUCCUCCUAAUAACUUUAUUCAUGUAAGACUGCCACUGAUAUUAAUGAAUUUAUAUUUUGCCUAGGAAGAUGCAGUGACUUUACCUUGUAAGGUUAAUGAUUCCAUAAAAUUCCUAACAGGAUUGACAUUUUUUUUCUAGAUCAAAACUGUGAGAACAUGUCUUUUUCUGCAUUGACCAAGAUGACAUCACAUCAGAUGCUUUUCCAAGCUUUUUCUGAGAUCCUGGAAAAAUGUCUCAUAUUAAGGACAGCAGAUAGGUUAUCUUUAAUUUUCCCAGACAUUGGAUUUCAUGAACAGUUGUUUUGUGAAUUUUCAGCAGGUUCAUAAAUGCAAGGAAGUACUGGUCAGUGGUGGCUUAUUUAUAGUCAGAGCUGUUGAUGUAAGCUCUCAGGAUGAUCAUCUGGUCUUACUUGCAGCUUGUACAGCAGGAUUUAGUAUCUUCACUGGAAACUCCUAUGUGACCGUAUAGAGGCUCAAGAUAAAACUGGGAGUUUUAUCUCUGAAUUGUCUGGAUGUAUACUCAAGUAAAUCUUAAGGAGACACCAAUUUUAAAACGUCCUUGCCCUCAAGUGUUGGAGAAUAUCAACACUGCUGAUCUCAAAAGCACGUAAGAUUUUUAAAGAAAUUAUUAGAAAACCUGGUGUCAGAGAAAGUACACUUUUAGACGUGCUUUUUUAGAUAUGAUUUUGAAAAUGAUUUGUUGCUUUAGUUCACAUCAAUUUUUAAGAGAAUCAGGAUGUCUGUAAGAAAAUAGAAUUACCAAAUUAUAUUGUAGCAGUAUACCAAUUUCAAUGGAUCUAGAAUAUGACAGUAAAGAUUAUUUGUAUGCAUUGAGCUUUAUGUACAUGUCUAAACAACAACCCUAUUUAUGGUAGCUUGCAACUUAUGUGUACAGUAGGAUAAACAGUUUAACUAUUCAUGUGCAUUAUUUUUAUAUGAUGGAGUGCAGUUCUGUAAGUACACCCAAAAGGAUAAUACUCCUCACUCUUUUUGUGCAGGAGAGACCAGCAGGGACUGGCCGUUUAGGGCUAUCAGUAAACCAAUACUGUGCUAGGGUGAAAGGAAGCAUAUGAAUCAUAAAUGUAGCAUGCUUCACCUGUUUUGUUGCUAGCUUUAUGAUUUCAUGCUGCUUAAGCAUUAUGAUUUUGUGAUUGAACUGUCUGUUUUCCUCCCUUGCAGUGUAAUAAGAUGACAUUGAAGAAAACCCUCCCCUUUGGGUUAUAGCGUGUUUAAAUAUAUCAGCAUUUGAUCUGAAUCCCUGAAAUAGCCCUGGUUUGCCCUCUAUUCUUCUCAGUUUGUGUGUCUGCACUCUGUUCUAAAUUACUUCAUGCAUACUUCAAAAGGAAGAAUAACAAGAGUCAAGAAGUUCUCUUCAGUCUGGGAGUGUUUGACUCCGUUUUUUUGUUUGCUUUUUCUUCCGUGUUGUCUUCUGUAUAUAUUUCAUGCUUAUUAUGAAGUUAAUUGAAAGAAGAAUAAAAUAUCUGUAAAAUCUUUUCUGCCA
ensembl:lncRNA